rnacentral:lncRNA from 1 species
UUUUAUUAAUGUCAUUUUUAUUUCAUAGGUGUUACUGUGCACACACAGAUGGUACUCAUAUCCCCAAAUUCGAAUCAGCUAUUCAUGAAAGCCAAAGAACGAAUUGCAACUGUGCCCGCCAUAAGUUUGCAUAUGAAAAAUCUGGCAUGAUUGGCAAACUGUUCCUUUGUGAAUCCAACGGUAAUUACAACAAAAUCCAAUGUAACGGAAGUGCAUGCUAUUGUGUUGAUGAGGUUGGCAAACGAGUAGGUGAUUCAGUUCAUGUUAGCCAGAGUGAAUAUAUGACCUGCUAGAAAGAGACUCUGGUAAAGAUCUCUACUUGAGAGAAAUUCAACACAAAGCUUUAUAUUGAUGUGGAAAUAAACAAAAUUUGAAAGAUA